rnacentral:tRNA from 1 species
GGUUGUGGCUCAGUAGUAGCAUGCUUGCCUGGCAUGCAUGAGGCACUGGGUUCAAUUCUCAGCACCA